rnacentral:snRNA from 1 species
AGCUUUGUGCAGUGGCAGUAUUGUAGCAAAUGAGGUUUCCCGAAGCGUGAUUAUUGCUAACGGAAAACUUGUCUCCCUUGUUCC